CCGACUGGCACUAUUGAAGGUUGAUGGCUGGAGAGGUACGAAAGACACUGGAGGCGGUUGGUCGUUGUAGAGAUCCGACUGCUGGAGCCCGUCCGUUUAGAAGUUCGUCCAGAAUCCAUCCACUAUGGAAGUUCGGACGGAGUCCGAUUCUUAUAGAAGUUCGGAUGGAGACCGCUCAUCGUAGAGGCUCGGUUGAAGUCUGGAGUAGACCGCUUGGGAGACGAUCGGUCGUUGUAGAGAUUCGACUGCUGGAGCCUGUCCGUUGUAGAAGUUCGUCCGGAAUCCAUCCGCUAUGGAAGUUCGGAUGGAGUCCGGUUCUGGUAAAAGUCCG
rnacentral:lncRNA from 1 species